rnacentral:lncRNA from 1 species
AAAAAUUCUCCCCAUCUCAUUCCUCUAUGUCCCAUUUGGAGGCGGUAAGCCCAUCAGAUUCCAGAGGCACUUCUUCAUCUCACUGCAGACCUCAAGAGAAUAUCAGCAGUAGGUGGAUGGUUCCCACAUCAGUAGAACGACUCCGAGAAGGAGGGAGCAUCCCCAAGGUCCUCCGAAGCAGCGUGAGGGUGGCCCAAAAGGGAGAGCCCUCUCCCACAUGGGAGAGUAACAUCACAGAGAAAGACUCAGGAAUACCUUUCUGUAACUCUCAUCUCUCCAAAGUCCUGGAAAUCUACCUCGAUGAAGGAUGAAGAGAAAGAAGACGGGAAUCACAUCAGGCAUUUAGAACAUAGCCCAUAAUUAACCACUCAUUUUGCCCUUCUGGCAUGCUGCACUCACCCAAUUUGUCACAAAGAGAGCAGUACGG